GCCAGGGUGUACCCUGACUUUCUCCGAAGGUCGCUGUGUUAUGCUCUGGCAUCACCAUGACCCCGAAAGGGACAUAGCAGUUUUGAAAAUGACCUUCUCCAGCGGGUUUUACCAAUGAGCAAAAAGCACAGUUGCUGCUGGUAUCAAAGACUGAAAUGAUUGAGUGGUAAAGAUUUCACAUUCCAAGUGGAUCGUAUGUGCUCCUGUCCUUGUCCGUGGACUUCCCUAGUGGCUUGUCUAGCACCCACCAGCUGUCCCCAAGCUCCAUCUGGAUGAAGUCAGUCUUCUACUCUAAUCAAACAUGUAGUUGUAGAGUUGGAUACGCAAAUUCUUAUUUAAAAUUCCUGGUACAUUGGGUGUAUGUACUGGGAGAGGAUCCCUCUGUCGUGUGGACACUCCAUAAGUUUUCUAUUAUAAUUCUCCCAAGAAUCACGUUUUUAAUUUUGGAUUGGCAAGAAGGAAAUCAAAGGGCAGAGAUGUCCAUUUUAGAUUGUCAUUUUAGCGAUUACCUAUUCAAAUGAUCUUAUCUUUGAUUUUUGGACAGUUAAUGAUUUAAAGCCCCUUGACAAAACUGUGUAUUUAUAUUGGGCUAU